rnacentral:rRNA from 1 species
GACGAACGCUGGCGGCGUGCUUAACACAUGCAAGUCGAACGGAAAGGCCCUGCUUUUGUGGGGUGCUCGAGUGGCGAACGGGUGAGUAACACGUGAGUAACCUGCCCUUGACUUUGGGAUAACUUCAGGAAACUGGGGCUAAUACCGGAUAGGAGCUCCUGCUGCAUGGUGGGGGUUGGAAAGUUUCGGCGGUUGGGGAUGGACUCGCGGCUUAUCAGCUUGUUGGGGGGGUAGUGGCUUACCAAGGCUGUGACGGGUAGCCGGCCUGAGAGGGUGAACGGCCACAUUGGGACUGAGAGACGGCCCAGACGCCUACGGGAGGCAGCAGGGGGGAAUAUUGCACAAUAGGCGGAAGCCUGAUGCAGCAACCCCGCGUGCGUGAUGACGGCCUUCGGGUUGUAAACCGCUUUCGCCUGUGACGAAGCGUGAGUGACGGUAAUGGGUAAAGAAGCACCGGCUAACUACGUG